rnacentral:rRNA from 1 species
ACGAACGCUGGCGGCAGGCUUAACACAUGCAAGUCGAGCGCCGUAGCAAUACGGAGCGGCAGACGGGUGAGUAACGCGUGGGAACAUACCCCUCGGCUCGGAAUAGCUCAGGGAAACUUGAGCUAAUACCGGAUACGGCCGAGAGGCGAAAGAUUUAUCGCCGAGGGAUUGGCCCGCGUCCGAUUAGCUAGUUGGUGUGGUAACGGCGCACCAAGGCGACGAUCGGUAGCUGGUCUGAGAGGAUGAUCAGCCACAUUGGGACUGAGACCACGGCCCAAACUCCUACGGGAGGCAGCAGUGGGGAAUAUUGGACAAUGGGCGCAAGCCUGAUCCAGCCCAUGCCGCGUGAGUGAUGACGGCCUUAGGGUUGUAAAGCUCUUUCGCACGCGACGAUAAUGACGGUAGCGUGAGAAGAAGCCCCGGCUAACUUCGUGCCAGCAGCCGCGGUAAUACGAAGGGGGCUAGCGUUGUUCGGAAUUACUGGGCGUAAAGCGCGUGUAGGCGGGCUUUUUAAGUCAGGGGUGAAAUGCCGAGGCUCAACCUCGGAACUGCCUUUGAUACUGGAAGUCUUGAGUCCGGGAGAGGUGAGUGGAACUGCGAGUGUAGAGGUGAAAUUCGUAGAUAUUCGCAAGAACACCAGUGGCGAAGGCGGCUCACUGGCCCGGAAACUGACGCUGAGACGCGAAAGCGUGGGGAGCAAACAGGAAUUAGAUACCCUGGUAGUCCACGCUGUAAACGAUGGAUGCUAGCCGUUGGGGAGCUUGCUCUUCAGUGGCGCAGCUAACGCUUUAAGCAUCCCGCCUGGGGAGUACGGUCGCAAGAUUAAAACUCAAAGGAAUUGACGGGGGCCCGCCCAAGCGGUGGAGCAUGUGGUUUAAUUCGAAGCAACGCGCAGAACCUUACCAGCUUUUGACAUGUCCUGGACGGAUUGCAGAGAUGCGAUCUUCUCUUCGGAGCCGGGAACACAGGUGCUGCAUGGCUGUCGUCAAGCUUCGUGUCGUGAGAUGUUGGGUUAAGUCCCGCAACGAGCGCAACCCCUCGCCUUUAGUUGCCAUCAUUCAGUUGGGGCACUCUAGAGGGGACUGCCGGUGAUAAGCCGGAGGAAGGUGGGGGAUGACGUCAAGUCCUCAUGGCCCUUACAGGCUGGGGCUUACACACGUGCUACAAAUGGCGGUGACAGAGGGAUGCGAUGCCGCGAGGGCCGAGCAAAUCUCUAAAAGCCGUCUCAGUUCGGAUUGCACUCUGCAACUCGAGUGCAUGAAGUUGGAAUCGCUAGUAAUCGCGGAUCAGCACGCCCGCGGUGAAUACGUUCCCGGGCCUUGUACACACCGCCCGUCACACCAUGGGAGUUUGGCUUUACCCGAAGGCGUUUUCGCUAACCCGCAAGGAGGCAGACGACCACGGUAGGGUCAGCGACUGGGGUG